AGAAUAGUAAGCUAAUUAAGCUAAUGGGUUCAUACCCCAUUUAUAGAGUCACCCCCUCUCUCUUCUA
rnacentral:tRNA from 1 species